rnacentral:ncRNA from 1 species
CAAAGGUUUGGUCCUAGCCUUUCUGUUAAUUGUAAUUAAACCUACACAUGCAAGUUUCCGCUGCCCAGUGAGAAUGCCCUUAAAAUUAUAAAUAAUCAUCAGGAGCCGGUAUCAGGCACACCACGAGUAGCCCACUACACCUUGCUCAACCACACCCCCACGGGUCACAGCAGUGACUAAAAUUAAGCUAUAAACGAAAGUUCGACUAAAUUAUAAUUAAAUAGGGUUGGUAAAUUUCGUGCCAGCCACCGCGGUCAUACGAUUAGCUCGAAUAAACAGAAAAGCGGCGUAAAGCGUGUUUAAGAUAACUACUCAAUAAAGCUAAGCUAUGACUAAACUGUAAUACGCUCUAGUCAAUAUUAAAAUAAACAACUAAAGUGGCUUUAAUAUUACUGAAAACACGGUAGCUAAGAAACAAACUGGGAUUAGAUACCCCACUAUGCUUAGCCCUAAACCUAAAUAAUUAAUUAACAAAAUUAUUCGCCUGAGAACUACUAGCAAACGCUUAAAACUCAAAGGACUUGGCGGUGUCCUAUACCCACCUAGAGGAGCCUGUUCUAUAAUCGAUAAACCCCGAUAAACCUCACCUCUUCUUGCCAAUACAGCCUAUAUACCGCCAUCGUCAGCUUACCCCAAUAGGGAACAGAAGUAGGCAGAACUAUAAACUCGUAAAAACGUUAGGUCAAGGUGUAGCAUAUGUAGAGGGAAGUAAUGGGCUACAUUUUCUAAGAUAGAACAUACGAAAUAUACUAUGAAACUUAGGAUAUCGAAGGAGGAUUUAGUAGUAAAUUAAGAAUAGAGAGCUUAAUUGAACUAGGCCAUAGGACACGCACACACCGCCCGUCACCCUCCUCAAUUAAACAUAGCAAAAUAACUAAUAAGAACAUUACAAAAAGAGGAGAAAAGUCGUAACAAGGUAAGUGUACUGGAAAGUGCACUUGGAAUAU